UACGAAGGGGGCUAGCGUUGUUCGGAUUUACUGGGCGUAAAGCGCACGUAGGCGGAUCGAUCAGUCAGGAGUGAAAUCCCAGAGCUCAACUCUGGAACUGCCUUUGAUACUGUCGAUCUGGAGUAUGGAAGAGGUGAGUGGAAUUCCGAGUGUAGAGGUGAAAUUCGUAGAUAUUCGGAGGAACACCAGUGGCGAAGGCGGCUCACUGGUCCAUUACUGACGCUGAGGUGCGAAAGCGUGGGGAGCAAACAGG
rnacentral:rRNA from 1 species